rnacentral:rRNA from 1 species
GCGUUGCUCGGAAUCACUGGGCGUAAAGCGCACGUAGGCGGAUUGCUAAGUCAGGGGUGAAAUCCUGGAGCUCAACUCCAGAACUGCCUUUGAUACUGGCGAUCUCGAGUCCGGGAGAGGUGAGUGGAACUGCGAGUGUAGAGGUGAAAUUCGUAGAUAUUCGCAAGAACACCAGUGGCGAAGGCGGCUCACUGGCCCGGUACUGACGCUGAGGUGCGAAAGCGUGGGGAGCAAACAGG